rnacentral:tRNA from 1 species
CGGGGUGUAGCUCAGCCUGGCUAGAGCGCUGCGUUCGGGACGCAGAGGUCCCCAGUUCAAAUCUGGGCACCCCGACCA